rnacentral:rRNA from 1 species
GACGAACGCUGGCGGCGUGCUUAACACAUGCAAGUCGAACGGAAAGGCCCUGCUUUUGUGGGGUGCUCGAGUGGCGAACGGGUGAGUAACACGUGAGUAACCUGCCCUUGACUUUGGGAUAACUUCAGGAAACUGGGGCUAAUACCGGAUAGGAGCUCCUGCUGCAUGGUGGGGGUUGGAAAGUUUCGGCGGUUGGGGAUGGACUCGCGGCUUAUCAGCUUGUUGGUGGGGUAGUGGCUUACCAAGGCUUUGACGGGUAGCCGGCCUGAGAGGGUGACCGGCCACAUUGGGACUGAGAUACGGCCCAGACUCCUACGGGAGGCAACAGUGGGGAAUAUUGCACAAUGGGCGGAAGCCUGAUGCAGCAACGCCGCGUGCGGGAUGACGGCCUUCGGGUUGUAAACCGCUUCCGCCUGUGACGAAGCGUGAGUGACGGUAAUGGGUAAAGAAGCACCGGCUAACUACGUG